rnacentral:rRNA from 1 species
AUUGAACGCUGGCGGCAUGCCUUACACAUGCAAGUCGAACGGCAGCGGGGGAGAAGCUUGCUUUUCCUGCCGGCGCGUGGCGAACGGGUGAGUAAUACAUCGGAACGUGCCCUGUAGUGGGGGAUAACUAGUCGGAAGAUUAGCUAUUACCGCAUACGACCUGAGGGUGAAAGUGGGGGACCGCAAGGCCUCAUGCUAUACGAGCGGCCCAUGGCUGAUUAGGUAGUUGGGGGGGUAAAGGACUACCAAUGCGACGAUCAGUAGCUGGUCUGAGAGGACGAUCAGCCACACUGGGACUGAGACACGGCCCAGACUCCUACGGGAGGCAGCAGUGGGGAAUUUUGGACAAUGGGCGAAAGCCUGAUCCAGCAAUGCCGCGUGUGUGAAGAAGGCCUUCGGGUUGUAAAGCACUUUUGUCCGGAAAGAAAUGGCUCUGGUUAAUACCUGGGGUCGAUGACGGUACCGGAAGAAUAAGGACCGGCUAACUACGUGCCAGCCGCCGCCGUAA